GCAUCCGUAGCUCAGCUGGAUAGAGCGCUGCCCUCCGGAGGCAGAGGUCAGAGGUUCGAAUCCUCUCGGGUGCGCCA
rnacentral:tRNA from 1 species